GGAGAGGUGCCAGAGCGGCUGAUUGGGCACGCCUGGAGAGCGUGUGUGCUCCGAAAGAGCACCGGGGGUUCGAAUCCCUCCCUCUCCGCCA
rnacentral:tRNA from 1 species